CCCGCUGAACUUAAGCAUAUCAGUAAGCAGAGGAAAAGAAACCAACUGGGAUUUCCUUAGUAACUGCGAGUGAAAAGGGAUAAGCUCAGCGCAAAAGAAGGUUUUUUCACGAGAAUUUUCGGUGUUGCGUUUGGAGAGUCCGAUUUGUGGUGGUGGUGCGGUCUAAAUUUCGCUGGAACGCGGUUGCAGAGAUGGUUUUACACCAGUUUGGCCGUAGCACCCCGCAAAGUGGACGCUUCCGGAGUCGGGUUGUUUGGAAACGCAGCCCAAAGUGGGUGGUAAACUUCACCUAAAGCUAAAUACGGCUACGAGACCGAUAGCAAACAAGUACUGUGAAGGAAAGUUGAAAAGCACUUUGAAAAGAGAGUGCAAGAGAACGUGAAACCGUUAUAGUGGAAGCGGAUAGAGCUGACGUAUCCAGUGCGUAUUCAGCCACUUCGUGGGGCGAUUUGUCGGCUCGGAGUGCUGCAAAGUCUCCUGCCGGCAUUGUUGUUCUGCGAAGCGGUGCAUUUGCGUACAGAGUGCGCCGAAUCGGCUGAGCUCGCUGUUUGAGGGUUGCAUAGAGGACCGGUCUUCGCGGAUCGGAACCCUGGGCGGCCGGAUGGCAGUUGAGUUUGGCCGUAAAAAGAGAUGGUUAUUCGCGGCGGUGGCGGGGAGUCAGGGUUGUAUUUGUACGAUGCAUGCGUUUUGCAUUCAUGACUUUGGCUCUCAAUCUUCGUUGCUCUUCUCGCAAUUCGGUGUUUAGUCGGUCACCUAUUUGACCCGUCUUGAAACACGG
rnacentral:rRNA from 1 species